GGGCCAUUAGCUCAGUCGGUAGAGCACAUGACUUUUAAUCAUGGUGUCGAUGGUUCGAUUCCAUCAUGGCUCACCA
rnacentral:tRNA from 1 species